AAUACCGGAUAGAUCUCGACUGCUGGAAUGCAUCGAGAUCUAAAGCUCCGGCGCCUAAGGAUGGGUCUGCGGCCUAUCAGGUAGUAGUGGGUGUAGCGUACCUACUAGCCUACGACGGGUACGGGUUGUGAGAGCAAGAGCCCGGAGAUGGAUUCUGAGACACGAAUCCAGGCCCUACGGGGUGCAGCAGGCGCGGAAACUUUACAAUGUUGGAAACAGCGAUAAGGGGACCUCGAGUGCCAGGUUACAAAUCUGGCUGUCGUGAUGCCUAAAAAGCAUUGCAUAGCAAGGGCCGGGCAAGACCGGUGCCAGCCGCCGCGGUAACACCGGCGGCUCGAGUGGUAACCGUUAUUAUUGGGUCUAAAGGGUCUGUAGCCGGCCGGAUAAGUCUCUUGGGAAAUCCAGCAGCUCAACUGUUGGGCUUUCAGGAGAUACUGUCUGGCUCGAGGCCGGGAGAGGUGAGAGGUACUUCAGGGGUAGGGGUGAAAUCUUGUAAUCCUUGAAGGACCACCAGUGGCGAAGGCGUCUCACCAGAACGGACCCGACGGCAAGGGACGAAAGCUAGGGGCACGAACCGGAUUAGAUACCCGGGUAGUCCUAGCCGUAAACGAUACUCGCUAGGUGUCGGCCACGGUGCGACCGUUGUCGGUGCCGUAGGGAAGCCGUGAAGCGAGCCACCUGGGAAGUACGG
rnacentral:rRNA from 1 species